GCGGGGGUGGUGGAAUUGGUAGACACGCUAGCUUGAGGUGCUAGUGGCUUCACGGCUGUGCCUGUUCAAGUCAGGUUCUCCGCA
rnacentral:tRNA from 1 species